UACGUAGGGUGCGGGCGUAAUCGGAAUUACUGGGCGUAAGCGUGCGCAGGCGGUUUUGUAAGCCAGAUGUGAAAGCCCCGAGCUCAAACUUGGGAAUGGCAUUGGAAACUGGCGGGCUGGAGUGUGGCAGAGGGGGGUGGAAUUCCACGGUGUAGCAGUGAAAUGCGUAGAGAAUGUGGAGGAACACCGAUGGCGAAGGCAGCCCCCUGGGCCA
rnacentral:rRNA from 1 species